rnacentral:sRNA from 1 species
AAGAUCGCGAUAUGGCUCAAGGACUGCCGAACUCGUACCCUUUAUUGGAAGUGUCAUAGACCCUUCUGAAAUAUGAUGACAUAUAUGGAAUAACUUCUCUUUAAAGAUGCACAGAGGCAAAUACACUGCUUGAAAUCCUUGGACCCCAGAUUUACAAUCUAGCUGUAAAUCAAUCUCCCCGUUUUCAGAUAAGCCUUAGAUAUUAGUUACUUCACUCAAAGUAUGGAUCAAGAAAUUGUAUUAAUGUGCUACUGGUUCAUUUAAUUGUU